rnacentral:rRNA from 1 species
GAUGAACGCUGGCGGCGUGCCUAAUACAUGCAAGUCGAGCGAACAGACGAGGAGCUUGCUCCUCUGACGUUAGCGGCGGACGGGUGAGUAACACGUGGAUAACCUACCUAUAAGACUGGGAUAACUUCGGGAAACCGGAGCUAAUACCGGAUAAUAUAUUGAACCGCAUGGUUCAAUAGUGAAAGACGGUUUUGCUGUCACUUAUAGAUGUAUCCGGGCCGGAUUAGCUAGUUGGUAAGGUAACGGCUUACCAAGGCGACGAUGCGUAGCCGACCUGAGAGGGUGAUCGGCCACACUGGAACUGAGACACGGUCCAGACUCCUACGGGAGGCAGCAGUAGGGAAUCUUCCGCAAUGGGCGAAAGCCUGACGGAGCAACGCCGCGUGAGUGAUGAAGGUCUUCGGAUCGUAAAACUCUGUUAUUAGGGAAGAACAAAUGUGUAAGUAACUAUGCACGUCUUGACGGUACCUAAUCAGAAAGCCACGGCUAACUACGUG